UACGAAGGGGACUAGCGUUGUUCGGAAUUACUGGGCGUAAAGCGCACGUAGGCGGAUUUGUUAGUCAGGGGUGAAAUCCCGGGGCUCAACCUCGGAACUGCCUUUGAUACUGCAAAUCUCGAGUCCGAUAGAGGUGGGUGGAAUUCCUAGUGUAGAGGUGAAAUUCGUAGAUAUUAGGAAGAACACCGGUGGCGAAGGCGGCCCACUGGAUCGGUACUGACGCUGAGGAGCGAAAGCAUGGGGAGCGAACAGG
rnacentral:rRNA from 1 species